rnacentral:rRNA from 1 species
GGGAAGUAUGGUUGCCAAGUUGAAACUUAAAGGACUUGACGGAAGGGCACCACCAGGAGUGGAGCAUGCGGCUUAAUUUGACUCAACACGGGUAAACUUACCAGGUUAGAACUUAUUGAGGUAACACAGAUUAAUAGCUCUUUCUCAAAAUUAAGGGUAGUGGUUCAGGGCCGUUCUUAGUUCGUGGAAUGAUUUGUCUGGUUAAUUCCAAUAACGAACGUGACUCCAUCAAAUUAAAUAGAACGCUAUCAGCAGUCAGAUGUUUGAUACCGGCGGUUCGGGCAACGGUCGCUCGCGGCUCGCGCUCGGCCAGCGGUGUAGUGUGACCUGUUAAUACGUCACCCCAUCGUGGUUGACCUCUGCUUAAUAGGGCAAUUUGUGUUCAGCAAAAUGAGAUUGAGCGAUAACAGGUCAGUGAUGCCCUUAGAUGUUCUGGGCUGCACGCGCGCUACAAUGUGCGCAGCAACGCGUAUCCUUGCCCGAAAGGGCCGGGAAAUCGCUUAAAUGCGCAUGGCCAGGUAAAGGCACAUACUAGGGUCGAAAGCCUUAGUAUGGGCAACUCCUACUUCCACCUCCACGCGGUACCUGGUGGGAUA